rnacentral:rRNA from 2 species
UACCCGAGGAGGAAGCCACGGCUAACUACGUGCCAGCAGCCGCGGUAAUACGUAGGUGGCUAGCGUUGUCCGGAAUUACUGGGUGUAAAGGGAGCGCAGGCGGGAUGGCAAGUUGAAUGUGAAAUCUAUGGGCUCAACCCGUAAAAUGCGUUCAAAGCUGCUGUUCUUGAAUAAUGUAGAGGUAGGCGGAAUUCCCGGUGUAGCGGUAGAAUGCGUAGAUAUCGGGAGGAACACCAGUGGCGAAGGCGGCCUACUGGGCAUUUAUUGACGCUGAGGCUCGAAAGUAUGGGGAGCAAACAGGAUUAGAUACCCUGGUAGUCCAUACUGUAAACGAUGAUUACUAGGUGUGGGGGGAUAGACCCCCUCCGUGCCGCAGCUAACGCACUAAGUAAUCCACCUGGGGAGUACGGCCGCAAGGCUGAAACU